rnacentral:rRNA from 1 species
UACGUAGGUGGCAAGCGUUGUCCGGAUUUACUGGGCGUAAAGGGCGUGCAGGCGGUCUGUUAAGUGCAGGGUGAAAGCUCCCGGCUCAACUGGGAGAGGUCCUUGCAUACUGGCGGACUUGAGGGGGGUAGAGGAAAGUGGAAUUCCCGGUGUAGUGGUGAUAUGCGUAGAUAUCGGGAGGAACACCAGUGGCGAAGGCGGCUUCCUGGACCGGUUCUGACACUGAGGAGCGAAAGCGUGGGGAGCGAUCCGG